rnacentral:rRNA from 1 species
UACAGAGGGGGCAAGCGUUGCUCGGAAUCACUGGGCGUAAAGGGCGCGUAGGCGGCCAUUCAAGUCGGGGGUGAAAGCCCGAGGCUCAACCUCGGAACUGCCUUCGAUACUGCGGGUCUCGAGUCCGGGAGAGGUGAGUGGAAUUCCUAGUGUAGAGGUGAAAUUCGUAGAUAUCGGGAGGAACACCGGUGGCGAAGGCGGCAUCCUGGACCGGUAUUGACGCUGAGGCGCGAAAGCCAGGGGAGCAAACGGG